GACGAACGCUGGCGGCGUGCUUAACACAUGCAAGUCGAACGGAAAGGCCCUGCUUUUGUGGGGUGCUCGAGUGGCGAACGUGUGAGUAACACGUGAGUAACCUGCCCUUGACUGUGGGAUAACUUCAGGAAACUGGGGCUAAUACCGUAUAGGAGCUCCUGCUGCAUGGGGGGGGUGGGAAAGUUUCGGCGGUUUGGGAUGGACUCGCGGCUUAUCAGCUUGUUGGUGGGGUAGUGGCUUACCAAGGCAUUGACGGGUAGCCGGCCUGAGAGGGUGACCGGCCAACUUGGGACUGAGAUAGGGCCCAGACCCCUCCGGGAGGAAGAAGUGGGGAAUAUUGCACAAGGGGCGGAGGCCUGAUGCAGCAACCCCGGGUGGGGGAUGACGGCCUUCGGGUUGUAAACCGCUUUCGCAUGUGACGAAGCGUGAGUGACGGUAAUGGGUAAAGAAGCACCGGCUAACUACGUG
rnacentral:rRNA from 1 species